rnacentral:ncRNA from 1 species
ACAAAGGCUUAGAAAGAGGAAAGUAGCUGGAUAGAAGCUAACAGGGAGGCAGGGGCACAGACUGAAACCCCGCCAGGUGGAAUUCCAGCGAAGUUCCCUCCGGAGCCGUCCGGGUGAAUGUGGUUCAAACUAGUAGCGCGGAACGCAGCCCAAGCGUUAUCAUGGGGACCGAUCGCUAUAAGCCGUCGGACAAAGCGGGUCGCGCGAGCGACCAACAAGGGUGGUACCACGGGAAACGCCUCCCGUCCCUUGA